GGAGCAGAGGCGAAUAUCGGCUAAGUCGCCCCGGACUGUAAAUCCGGAGUCUGCUAGACAGGGUGAAGGUUCAACUCCUUCCUGCUCCACCA
rnacentral:tRNA from 1 species